GACUACAGGGGUAUCUAAUCCUGUUCGAUCCCCACGCUUUCGUGCAUCAGCGUCAGUGUCAGUUUAGUAAGCUGCCUUCGCAAUCGGUGUUCUGUGUAAUAUCUAAGCAUUUCACCGCUACACUACACAUUCCGCUUACCUCAACUGAACUCAAGCUCUUCAGUAUCAAUGGCAAUUCUAUCGUUGAGCGACAGGAUUUCACCACUGACUUAAAAAGCCGCCUACGCACCCUUUAAACCCAAUGAAUCCGGAUAACGCUUGCAUCCUCCGUAUUACCGCGGCUGCUGGCACGGAGUUAGCCGAUGCUUAUUCAUACAGUACCGGCAGGUCCCUACACGUAGGGAUUUUUCUUCCUGUAUAAAAGCAGUUUACAACCCAUAGGGCCGUCAUCCUGCACGCGGGAUGGCUGGUUCAGGCUUGCGCCCAUUGACCAAUAUUCCUCACUGCAGCCUCCCGUAGG
rnacentral:rRNA from 1 species